rnacentral:rRNA from 1 species
AGUGAACGCUGGCGGUAGGCCUAACACAUACAAGUCGAACGGCAGCACAGUAAGAGCUUGCUCUUACGGGUGGCGAGUGGCGGACGGGUGAGGAAUACAUCGGAAUCUACUUUUUCGUGGGGGAUAACGUAGGGAAACUUACGCUAAUACCGCAUACGACCUACGGGUGAAAGCAGGGGAUCUUCGGACCUUGCGCGAUUGAAUGAGCCGAUGUCGGAUUAGCUAGUUGGCGGGGUAAAGGCCCACCAAGGCGACGAUCCGUAGCUGGUCUGAGAGGAUGAUCAGCCACACUGGAACUGAGACACGGUCCAGACUCCUACGGGAGGCAGCAGUGGGGAAUAUUGGGCAAUGGGCGCAAGCCUGAUCCAGCCAUACCGCGUGGGUGAAGAAGGCCUUCGGGUUGUAAAGCCCUUUUGUUGGGAAAGAAAAGCAGCAGGUUAAUACCCCGCUGUUCUGACGGUACCCAAAGAAUAAGCACCGGCUAACUACGUG